UACGUAGGGUGCGAGCGUUGUCCGGAAUUACUGGGCGUAAAGAGCUCGUAGGUGGUUUGUCGCGUUGUUCGUGAAAACUCACAGCUUAACUGUGGGCGUGCGGGCGAUACGGGCAGACUGGAGUACUGCAGGGGAGACUGGAAUUCCUGGUGUAGCGGUGGAAUGCGCAGAUAUCAGGGGGAACACCGGUGGCGAAGGCGGGUCUCUGGGCCAUUACUGACGCUGAGGAGCGAAAGCGUGGGGAGCGAACAGG
rnacentral:rRNA from 1 species